GACGAACGCUGGCGGCGUGCUUAACACAUGCAAGUCGAGCGGAAAGGCCCUUCGGGGUACUCGAGCGGAGAACGGGUGAGUAACACGUGAGUAACCUGCCCCAGACUUUGGGAUAACCCUCGGAAACGGGGGCUAAUACCGGAUACGACACAGCUUCGCAUGGGGUCUGUGUGGAAAGUUGUUCGGUUUGGGAUGGGCUCGCGGCAUAUCAGCUUGUUGGUGGGGUGAUGGCGUACCAAGGCGACGACGGGUAGCCGGCCUGAGAGGGCGACCGGCCAUACUGGGACUGAGACACGGCCCAGACUCCUACGGGAGGCAGCAGUGGGGAAUAUUGCACAAUGGGCGGAAGCCGUAUGCAGCGACGCCGCGUGAGGGAUGACGGCCUUCGGGUUGUAAACCUCUUUCAGCAGGGACGAAGCGUAAGUGACGGUACCUGCAGAAGAAGCGCCGGCCAACUACGUG
rnacentral:rRNA from 1 species